rnacentral:rRNA from 1 species
CCCUUAGAUGUUCUGGGCUGCACGCGUGCUACACUGAUAUUGCCAAUAUGUCAUUCUUAUCCGAAAUGGAUUGGGUAAUCAAGUAAUGAAAUUUCAUGCUUGGAAUCGGUGAUUGCAAUUUUAUCGCGAACGAGGAAUUCCUAGUAAGCACUAGUCAUCAGCUAAUGUUGAUUAUGUCCCUGCCCUUUGUACACACCGCCCGUCGCUACUACUGAUUGGGUGUUCAAGUGAGAUGCUUAGACCCUUGUUGCAUGGUUCAUUAUUGUGCUCCGAAAGGAAAAAGUUUCAAGCUUGAGUGUCUAGAGGAAGUAAAAGUCGUAACA